rnacentral:rRNA from 1 species
AUACGGAGGAUCCGAGCGUUAUCCGGAUUUAUUGGGUUUAAAGGGAGCGCAGGCGGCCAUUUAAGUCAGCGGUUAAAUCGUGGGGCUCAACCCCAUUCUGCCGUUGAUACUGGGUGGCUUGAUUGCGGUAGAGGUUGGCGGAAGUCGUUGUGAUGCGGUGAAAUGCAUAGAUAUGACGAAGAACACCGAUUGCGUAGGCAGCUGACCAGACCGCAAAUGACGCUCAUGCACGAAAGUGCGGGGAUCGAACAGGAUUAGAUACCCUGGUAGUCCGCACAGUAAACGAUGAAUACUUGUUUUCGGCGAUAUAAUGUCGGAGGCAAAGCGAAAGCGAUAAGUAUUCCACCUGGGGAGUACGCCGGCAACGGUGAAACUCAAAUGAAUUGACGGGG